rnacentral:lncRNA from 1 species
CAUAACAGAGGUUCUCAAACUGUAUUCUGUGGACCACUGGUGGUCCACGGAGCACUUGCUGGUGGUCCGGGGAGAGCUGGCUGGUCUCAUGAUGCUGGCUCUCCUCCUUGCUUCCAGCUGCUCUUGGAGGGUUUUCUGCUCCAUUUACACUAUAUCUCAUCAUAGUUGUCAGCUGCUUCUUUGUCUUGCCAUCAGCACCCAAUUGUAACACCCCCAACACUGAUGCAAUCCCAUGAGGAGAAACUACUACAUUGUCCUGAGGCUUAGCUUUCACUAUCUGAUUGAAGACUUGGAUUCCAACAUCAGAGCUAAGCUCCUCCAGAGGAUAAAAAUUGAACUGGGAACACACAGAUGCUAAAGUCCCAAGAAGAAAGAGAAGCGAGAAGUGCCAGUUCAUGGUUUCUGGUUGGAAAUAACCUCCCUCGCAGCUCUCGGCCCCGCUCCCGCCGCGGCCGCCCGUA